rnacentral:pre_miRNA from 1 species
UUUAAGUUUUUAGAUAUAAUGUUUAACUUUCCGUCUCAUUAAAAAAAUUUACGAUUAAUAAUUUUAUUUUUAUUAGAUGAUAAAAUAUAAAUAGUACUUUAUGUGUGAUUAUUUUUAAAAAAAAUUAAAAAUUUUUCAAAUAAGACGGACGGUCAAAUGCUCGACGCAAAAACCGAAAGUUGGUUUUUUG